rnacentral:miRNA from 1 species
AACGAGGGGUAUUCCACAAAAAAUUACCCUGAGGGAUGAAAUAUAUAUUUCAUCCCGCAGGGUAAUUUUUUGUGGAAUACCCCGA